CGCUGGCGGCGUGCCUAACACAUGCAAGUCGAACGCCAAAGGGGGCAACCCUGAGUAGCGUGGCAUCCGGGUGAGUAACACGUGGGUAAUCUACCUCUAGGUGGGGAAUAACUCAGGGAAACUUGAGAUAAUACCGCAUAAUGCAGCGGCUCGGUAUCGAGACAGUUGUUAAAGCGGGGGAUCGCAAGACCUCGCGCCAAGAGAGGAGCCUGCGUCUGAUUAGCUUGAUGGUAAGGUAACGGCUUACCAUGGCAAUGAUCAGUAGCCGACCUGAGAGGGCGGUCGGCCACACUGGCACUGAAACACGGGCCAGACUCCUACGGGAGGCAGCAGUGGGGAAUUUUGGGCAAUGGGCGCAAGCCUGACCCAGCAACGCCGCGUGAGCGAUGAAGUCCUUCGGGAUGUAAAGCUCGUAAGUAUGGGAAGAAUAAUAAGGUGCUAACACCAUCUUAGAUGACGGUACCAUACGUAAGCCCCGGCUAACUCCGUG
rnacentral:rRNA from 1 species